rnacentral:rRNA from 1 species
GACGAACGCUGGCGGCGUGCUUAACACAUGCAAGUCGAACGGUAAGGCCCUUCGGGGUACACGAGUGGCGAACGGGUGAGUAACACGUGGGUGAUCUGCCCUGCACUUCGGGAUAAGCCCGGGAAACUGGGUCUAAUACCGGAUAGGACCACUGCCUGCAUGGGUGGUGGUGGAAAGCUUUUGCGGUGUGGGAUGGGCCCGCGGCCUAUCAGCUUGUUGGUGGGGUGAUGGCCUACCAAGGCGACGACGGGUAGCCGGGCUGAGAGGGUGACCUGCCACACUGGUACUGAGAUACGGCCCAUACUCCGACGGGAGGCAGCAGUGGGGAAUAUUGCACAAUGGGCGCAAGCCUGAUGCAGCGACGCCGCGUGAGGGAUGACGGCCUUCGGGUUGCAAACCUCUUUCAGCACCGACGAAGCGCAAGUGACGGUAGGUGCAGAAGAAGGACCGGCCAACUACGUGCCAGCAGCCGCGGUAA